rnacentral:rRNA from 1 species
ACGAACGCUGGCGGCAUGCCUAACCCAUGCAAGUCGAACGAGACCUUCGGGUCUAGUGGCGCACGGGUGCGUCACGCGUGGGAACCUGCCCUUAGGUUCGGAAUAACUCCCCGAAAGGGGUGCUAAUACCGGAUAAUGUCUUCGGACCAAAGAUUUAUCGCCUUUGGAUGGGCCCGCGUUGGAUUAGCUAGUUGGUAGGGUAAAAGCCUACCAAGGCGACGAUCCAUAGCUGGUCUGAGAGGAUGAUCAGCCACACUGGGACUGAGACACGGCUCAGACUCCUACGGGAGGCAGCAGUGGGGAAUAUUGGACAAUGGGCGAAAGCCUGAUCCAGCAAUGCCGCGUGAGUGAUGAAGGCCUUAGGGUUGUAAAGCUCUUUUACCCGGGAUGAUAAUGACAGUACCGGGAGAAUAAGCUCCGGCUAACUCCGUG